GAUGAACGCUGGCGGCGUGCCUAAUACAUGCAAGUCGAACGCACAGCGAAAGGUGCUUGCACCUUUCAAGUGAGUGGCGAACGGGUGAGUAACACGUGGAUAACCUACCUCAAGGUUGGGGAUAACAUUUGGAAACAGAUGCUAAUACCGAAUAAAACUUAGUAUCGCAUGAUACCAGGUUAAAAGGCGCUACGGCGUCACCUAGAGAUGGAUCCGCGGUGCAUUAGUUAGUUGGUGGGUAAAGGCUUACCAAGACAAUGAUGCAUAGCCGAGUUGAGAGACUGAUCGGCCACAUUGGGACUGAGACACGGCCCAAACUCCUACGGGAGGCUGCAGUAGGGAAUCUUCCACAAUGGGCGAAAGCCUGAUGGAGCAACGCCGCGUGUGU
rnacentral:rRNA from 1 species